rnacentral:rRNA from 1 species
UACGGAGGGUGCAAGCGUUAUCCGGAUUCACUGGGUUUAAAGGGUGCGUAGGCGGCUAUUUAAGUCAGUGGUGAAAGCCCGCAGCUCAACUGCGGAAUUGCCAUUGAAACUGAGUAGCUCGAAUCUGGUUGAAGUGGGCGGAAUACAUCAUGUAGCGGUGAAAUGCAUAGAUAUGAUGUAGAACACCAAUUGCGAAGGCAGCUCACUAAGCCAACAUUGACGCUGAGGCACGAAAGCGUGGGGAGCAAACAGG